rnacentral:rRNA from 1 species
CCUACGGGAGGCAGCAGUAGGGAAUCUUCCACAAUGGGCGAAAGCCUGAUGGAGCAACGCCGCGUGGGUGAAGAAGGUCUUCGGAUCGUAAAACCCUGUUGUUAGAGAAGAAAGUGCGUGAGAGUAACUGUUCACGUUUCGACGGUAUCUAACCAGAAAGCCACGGCUAACUACGUGCCAGCAGCCGCGGUAAUACGUAGGUGGCAAGCGUUAGCCGGAUUUAUUUGGCGUAAAGGGAACGCAGGCGGUCUUUUAAGUCUGAUGUGAAAGCCUUCGGCUUAACCGGAGUAGUGCAUUGGAAACUGGGAGACUUGAGUGCAGAAGAGGAGAGUGGAACUCCAUGUGUAGCGGUGAAAUGCGUAGAUAUAUGGAAGAACACCAGUGGCGAAAGCGGCUCUCUGGUCUGUAACUGACGCUGAGGUUCGAAAGCGUGGGUAGCAAACAGGAUUAGAUACCCCAGUAGUC